CCCUGGUCCUCGCCUUGCGUCCGGUCUGGAGCUGUCACCCCGGAGUACCUCUCGGAGUCGGCUGGAAGCAGCCAGCAGCGCAGCUCACUCCCGAGCGCCGGCGCCCUAGAGAGCCAGCAGUCUCCGCCGCAGCUCACAACAAAGGAAACAUGUGACCGUCCCGGCCAAAACACUGAGCGUCACCCAGCCCUGGCCAAUCCGGGGGGGCGGCCUCCGCGCGGGGCACGCUGGGAAUUAUAGUUCCAAACCUGCUGAUUGGAAAGGUUGUGUUGCACAGCCGGUUACGGAAAUGCAGCUUAUGCAAGGAGCCUACUGAGAAACAUGCGUAGUAGACUUAUUGUCCUCAACGCUUCUCCAACACCCUAGGCACAAACAGAACUAGGAAUUCCCAGAACCAAAGAGCUUGGAGUAAAGCCUAGAGAUCUCUUUAUUUGAUCAUUUCCUGUCCAAUUGGGAAAUCUGAGGACCUGAGGGGUGGAAAGGAGUAGUCACUAGAAGGCUCGAGAGAAACUUCCUUUCUUUGUAAAUCUCUUGUCACUUGUAUCAAAUCCUAGGUUACCUUUUUAUUUUAAACAUACAAGCAAGUUGAACUGUUGCAGAUCAAUAUUCCAAAGCAGAUUGAUUCCCCAAAGGGCAUUAUUUUGUCAUUUUGUUUUUGCAAAUAUUUUUUUCGAGGAUGAAUGUAUAACCUGGUUUUUCCACCAAUUAACUGGUUUUUAAUAUCAAAGUUAUAGCUCAUUUCUCUUCUACACUUCAUGAAUACAAUCAUGUGUCUAUUACAUGAGAGGAUGUGACCAGGAAAUAAUAUAGAAGCUGAACUGAACCAGUGUCUGGGUGUGGAGGAUCCACCUGAGGAUUGUUGCCAACAGCCAUAAAAAGAGAACUGGAGGGGAAGAUCGAAGGCUGUUGAUUUUCUAGGAGCAGCUUGUGUGGAUGGUCUUCCUGAUAGGAACUCGGCUGUUUUCAUCAGAGGGGGAGCUCAGGCCUCACUGUGGCUGGGAAUGGCUGCUGUUCUGUCAGGGGAGCUCUGAUCUUCACCGUGAGCAUCACUUCCUGGCUCCAGUAUGGAUCCCUCAGCCUGUGGCACAAAUCCUUCACCCCACCGGCAUAGGCUUUCUGGCUCCCACCACUGGCCUUUGGGCCUUCAGGUGCAGAUCCUCAAUACUGACAAGCGUGAGACGUUGCCAUGGGCUCUGGGCCUCUGGCUGGACUCAUGGAGGACACUGCCUUGGGCUCUAAGCCUUUAGCUGGACUUGUGUGGGAAAUUGCUGAUCCAGGCUCUCGGCUAGAUUCUUUGGGCCCCUAAUGUGUGGCUAAUCUCUUGCACUCCUUUGCAUUUGACUUUUGG
rnacentral:lncRNA from 1 species